rnacentral:rRNA from 1 species
AGUGAACGCUGGCGGUAGGCCUAACACAUGCAAGUCGAACGGCAGCACAGUAAGAGCUUGCUCUUACGGGUGGCGAGUGGCGGACGGGUGAGGAAUACAUCGGAAUCUACUUUUUCGUGGGGGAUAACGUAGGGAAACUUACGCUAAUACCGCGUACGACCUACGGGUGAAAGCAGGGGAUCUUCGGACCUUGCGCGAUUGAAUGAGCCGAUGUCGGAUUAGCUAGUUGGCGGGGUAAAGGCCCACCAAGGUGACGAUCCGUAGCUGGUCUGAGAGGAUGAUCAGCCACACUGGAACUGAGACACGGUCCAGACUCCUACGGGAGGCAGCAGUGGGGGAUAUUGGACAAUGGGCGCAAGCCUGAUCCAGCCAUACCGCGUGGGUGAAGAAGGCCUUCGGGUUGUAAAGCCCUUUUGUUGGGAAAGAAAAGCAGCAGGUUAAUACCCCGCUGUUCUGACGGUACCCAAAGAAUAAGCACCGGCUAACUUCGUG